UACGGGGGGGGUAAGCGUUGUUCGGAAUUACUGGGCGUAAAGGGCUCGUAGGCGGCCAACUAAGUCAGACGUGAAAUCCCUCAGCUUAACUGGGGAACUGCGUCUGAUACUGGAUGGCUUGGAUUCGGGAGAGGAAUGCGGAAUUCCAGGUGUAGCGGUGAAAUGCGUAGAUAUCAGGAGGAACACCGAUUGCGAAGGCAGCUCGCUGGGACGUAACUGACGCUGAGACGCGAAAGCGUGGGGAGCAAACAGG
rnacentral:rRNA from 1 species